AACGAACGCUGGCGGCAUGCCUAACACAUGCAAGUCGAACGAUACCUUCGGGUCUAGUGGCGCACGGGUGCGUAACGCGUGGGAACCUGCCCUUAGGUUCGGAAUAACUCCCCGAAAGGGGUGCUAAUACCGGCUAAUGUCUUCGGACCAAAGAUUUAUCGCCUUUGGAUGGGCCCGCGUUGGAUUAGCUAGUUGGUAGGGUAAAAGCCUACCAAGGCGACGAUCCAUAGCUGGUCUGAGAGGAUGAUCAGCCACACUGGGACUGAGACACGGCCCAGACUCCUACGGGAGGCAGCAGUGGGGAAUAUUGGACAAUGGGCGAAAGCCUGAUCCAGCAAUGCCGCGUGAGUGAUGAAGGCCUUAGGGUUGUAAAGCUCUUUUACCCGGGAUGAUAAUGACAGUACCGGGAGAAUAAGCUCCGGCUAACUCCGUG
rnacentral:rRNA from 1 species